AUAACAGAGGAAAGAUUUGACUGAUUGCAACCUCUUUGGUAUCUACCAAAAAAUGCUAAAGCAGUAUCU
rfam:Capnocytophaga canimorsus Cc5, complete genome.